rnacentral:rRNA from 1 species
GUAAGAGAAGAUAAGAAUAGUGGUAUCCUGAGUAGGUCGGGGCACGUGAAACCUUGAUUGAAACUGGCGGGACCAUCCGCUAAGGCUAAAUACUCCUGAGAGACCGAUAGUGAACCAGUACCGUGAGGGAAAGGUGAAAAGAACCGUGAAUAACGGAGUGAAACAGAUCCUGAAACCAUACGCCUACAAGCGGUCGGAGCCCCUUAGUGGGGUGACGGCGUGCCUUUUGCAUAAUGAGCCUACGAGUUACCGUUGCUGGCAAGGAUAAGUGAUUAAGUCAUGGAUCCGUAGCGAAAGCGAGUCUUAAUAGGGCGCUUAAGUCAGUAGUGGUAGACGCGAAACCGUGUGAUCUACCCAUGGGCAGGUUGAAGUUUAGGUAACACUAAAUGGAGGACCGAACCGUUUAACGCUGAAAAGUUUUCGGAUGACCUGUGGGUAGGGGUGAAAGGCCAAUCAAACUCGGAAAUAGCUCGUACUCCCCGAAAUGCAUUUAGGUGCAGCGAUGAUCGAUAGUUACUUAGAGGUAGAGCUACUGAUUGGAUGCGGGGGCUUCACCGCCUACCAAUUCCUGACAAACUCCGAAUGCUAAGUAAUGAUAAUCAUCAGUGAGGGCAUGGGUGCUAAGGUCCAUGUCCGAGAGGGAAAGAACCCAGACCAUCAGCUAAGGUCCCCAAAUGUAUGCUAAGUUGAAAAAACGCGGUUUGAUUGCCCAGACAGCUAGGAUGUUGGCUUGGAAGCAGCCAUUCAUUUAAAGAGUGCGUAACAGCUCACUAGUCGAGCGAUCGAGCAUGGAUAAUAAUCGGGCAUAAGUAUACUACCGAAGCUAUGGAUUUGCGCAUUUAGUUGCGUGAGUGGUAGGGGAGCAUUCUAACGGCGCAGAAGGUGAUUUGUGAGAAUUGCUGGAGCUUUUAGAAAAGAAAAUGUAGGCAUAAGUAACGAUAAGGGGUGCGAGAAACACCCCCGCCGUAAGACUAAGGUUUCCUCAGCUAUGCUAAUCAGCUGAGGGUUAGUCGGGACCUAAGGCACACCCGAAGGGGGACGUCGAUGGCCAACGGGUUAAUAUUCCCGUACUACUGAUAAUUGUGAUGGAGUGACACAGUGAUGAAAGCACCGCGAACUGACGGAAUAGUUCGUUGAAGCACGUACCUAUAGGUUUGAUAGUAAAAUGCGUCAGACUUGGAGAAAUGCGAUAGUACUUUGAGUCUUCGGACAACGAGAUAGUGUGCCUAAGGGCUGUCAAGAAAAGCUUCUAAACUUAGAUUAUUAGUACCCGUACCGUAAACCGACACAGGUAGUCGAGGAGAGUAUCCUAAGGCGCUCGAGAGAUUCAUGGCUAAGGAACUAGGCAAAAUAGACCUGUAACUUCGGGAGAAAGGUCGCCAGCGCAAGCUGGCCGCAGUGAAAAGGUCCAGGCGACUGUUUAUCAAAAACACAGGGCUCUGCAAAAUCGUAAGAUGACGUAUAGGGCCUGACACCUGCCCGGUGCUGGAAGGUUAAGAGGAGAUGUUAUC